rnacentral:lncRNA from 1 species
UAUUCUAUCCCAGAUCACAGGAAAGUUAUAAAAAUCAAACCGUCACCCUUUAGUUUGCUUGAACUUUAGUAAACCACCUGCUUAGGGACUUUGAACUUAAAUAUAUCCCCUUCCUCAAGUGGUGCUAUUUUAAAACUAAAAAAAACUUUGAAUUGGCUAUUUUUUUAAUGCAAUAUUUUUUUUCUGAAUUCAUUAUGAUCCCCAUAUUGGGUAAUGCUGAACAUUUAUCUGAAACAGAUGAGGAUAUUAUUAUUUUGUAUCCAAACAGAAAUUCAGAUAAAGGGAAAUUUGACUAGUGUAAUCUGAGAUAUGUCAUAGGGAUUUCUUUCUGACAAAAGGGUGCUUUGCUGUUCUUUAUAUUAAAUACUUUUAGAUCAACUCUUUUUGCAAGACUUUUUAAAAAUGUAAAGUUCUUUAAGAAAUAUACAAAAAUACACACACUCUAGCAUUAACAGUGAACAGAUUAGAAAGAUUUUAUAAAUCAAACUACAAACAUAAUUAGAUAACUCAGAAAUUAUGCCCAUCCACAUCUCAUAUACUUAAGGUGAUUAUUUACUUAUUGUUAUUCAAUGUAACAUUUUUAGAAAGUUAUCUUUAGCCCAGUUGCAAUAGGAAUAUUUUUUGUUACUUACAUAAGGGGAUUAAGACUCAGGCUAUAAGGCCUGGGUAUGGUGGCUCAUGCCUAUAAUCCCAGCACUUUGGGAGGCUGAGACAAGAGAAUUGCUUGAGCCCAGGAGUUUGAGACCAGCCUGGGCAACAUAGUGAGACCCUGUCUCUAACAAAACUAAAAUUAGCUGGUCAUGUUGGUGCACAUCUGUAGUUCCAGUUACUCAGGAGGCUGAGGUGGGAGGAUUGCUUGAGUCCAGGAGAUCAAGGCUGUAGUGAGCUGUGAUUGCCCCAGGCAACAGAGUGAGACCCUGUCUCAAACAGCAACGACAACAACAAAACCCACUCAGGCUAUAUUUAAACUAGAUGAGGCCAGAUGUGGUGGCACAUGUCUGUGGUCCCAGCUACUGAAGAGGCUGAGGUGGGAUGAUUACUUAAGCCCAGGAAUUCGGGGCUAUAGUGAGCUAUACUGAUGGGGUAUCUAUACUGUUUGGCAUCAAUAUGGUGGCCACUGGGGAGCAUGGUACCACCAGGUUGCCUAAGGAGGGGUGAACUGGCCCAGGUUGGAAACAGAGUGGGUCAAAACUUCUGUGCUGGUCAGUAGUGGGAUCAUGCCUGUGAAUUGCCACUGCACUCCAGUCUGGGCAACAUAGCAAGACCCCAUCUUAAAAAAAAAAAAAAAACUAAUGGGAAAGUGAAAUUCUACAGGGGCCUUGUUAUAACAUACCUGGCUAUAAUAGAGAGUGCUUGAUCUCUGUUCAGAUGGGAAGUGUUGUCUGUUAGAAAACAGUGCCAUUGCUUCUCCUCCAGGACUCAAGCAGUGAGGAUCCAUCUCACCGAGUUGUAUUCUAAAAAAAUUGCCUCAGUGAGAGAUGAACUGAGUAUUCCUACUGCUGAUUUGCAAAUUGCUACAACACUCUUGGAGAGCAAUUUGUUAAUUUUUUUCCAACAAAUAUUUUUUGAGGGUCUUUGAUCUGCCAAGUACCAGUUUGACUUUUGGGGAUACAACAAUGGACAGAAAAGGGCCUCAUGGGGCUUACAGUCUAGUGGGGGAAGACAGAGAAUAAACAAGGAAACAAAUAAAAAGGGUGAUGAGUGCUGUGAAAAAAAAAUAUGCCCAUGUCUGCCAGAGAGGCCGGGAGAGAAGCAUCGUCGGAGUGGAAGGCCUCUUGGGCCCCUCUUGGUUCUCUUGGGCCUCUGGAGGGAUGGCAUUUGUGCUAAGGCCUGAAGGAAGGGUAGGAAGCAGCAAGAAGGGCCUUCCAGGAGGAAGGAAGAGAAAAUAUGAAGGUCCCAAGAUAAAGAUGAGUGAAUUCCAGGGCAGAAGAGAAAGCCAGUGUGUUAGGGCCUGGUGCAGAAAGGGGAGCGGGAUAGGGGCGCGGUCAGAGGUAAGGCUGAGACUGGACCAGUUUGGGCCUGGGUGCCAGGGUGAGUCUUUGGUCAUGGUACACGGAAGGGUUAUCUGUUUGAAGUUGCGGAGGGGCAUGAUGUGAUGCUCUGCGUCUAAGAAUUAUUAUUUUAUCUGCUAUAAGGAGAAUUUUUGUAGGGCUAAAAGUGGAAGCAGUCCUUAUCAGGAAACCCAAACAUUUAUAACUUUUUGGAAUUUCUCACUCCUGGGACUGGCUUUAGAAAGUGAUCCAAAAUUGUAAGGGAGAUCAUCAGUGUUUUGGUCAGCCUGGCAUUUAGUCCACUUGCUCUGGUGAUGGCUGCCCAAUUUCUUAUUUUUCUUUUGAGAAAUCACAUCCUUCCCUCACCCAUCUCUAGUCCUUAGGGUGGGCUGACCCUACAGAUGGGUACACACCUGGCCUGGCAGACUCGUUCAUUAACUCACUUGAUAAAUAUUAUCAAUAUUGUAGGGUGGGAUAGAGCUGUAAACAAAUGGUGUCACCCCUUGUGGUUCUUGUGAAGGUGACAAAUUAUACUACAUGAAUAUAUAACACAACAUCAGGGAGCAAUAAGUCAGUGAAGUCAGAGAAAGCGAAUAGACAGUGAAGGGGUGGUCAGCGGGGACUGAAGGAAGUGAGGGAGCACCAAGCCAUGGGGACGGGGGGGGAACUGUGUGGAGGCAGAGAGGAUAGGAACAGUGGUCAUCAGUGAUGGGCAGGCUGGGUGGGCUCAGGAAACAGCAAAGGGGCCAGAUGAACAGAGCAGGGGAGGUGCAAGAGGGAGCAGGGCUGUCCUGUUGGCCAUCCAGAACAUUCCCUUGCCCUGGCUCCAGUGACUGGCUCAGGCCUAGGUGCUGGACCUCAGUCAUGUGAAUGAGCCAUCAUUGGACUUCCAGAAUGAUUGGGAAAGAGCUGCCAUCUUUCUGAAAGAAUGUAAAGGAACAGGCCUAAGAGCGAAGCCAGCACAGAAGGAAGUGGCCCAGAAGACAGAAAGGUUCCGAAAACAAACAUCAUUUAGCUGCUGUGUCCAGCUGUGCCCAAAGCUAAUCCACACUUAGCUUUUCGCUGCGUAAACUAAUACAUUUUCUUUUUUCUCAAGCCAAGGCAAACUGAUUUCCUUUGACUUGCAACCUAAAAGUCUUCACCAAAUAUAGCAAUAUUGAAAAUUUUUUAUGUGUAAAGAUGUGAAUUGCAGAAUAUUUAUGGUAGCAAAAUACUGGGAGCAACUUCAAUGUCCCAAAAUGGUUAUAAAACACACAUCCCAUAAUAGAAUAGUAUGCAUUCAUUAAGACUGAUGUUAGAGAACUCAGAGUAACAUGAGAAAAUGAUUGUUUUAAAGAAAAAGCAGAAGUUCUAUAUGCAGCAUGAUCUCAAUUAUGUAAACACAUUCUCAUAAAGCAAAUACAACAAAAUGCAAAUUCACAUAAGUAAAUGCAAAUGGUGGGAUUUUUUAACUAUAGUUUUACUUUUUUCAGUUUUUAAUUUUUCUCUAGGGUACAUUUCUUUUUAAUAAUCAGAAAAAGAAAACAAUUCUCUUUAAUUUUAAAUAAAGAUAACAUGGAGGAAAAAUUGGAAACAAAUGACCUCUUGUACAUGCAAAAGUGCUUUACAUCACAAUGUCCAAGAGCACAUAGACACCACUCUCCCCCAUGCAGAAGGACAUGCGCUUUACGCGAUACAUGCCAUCUAGUUUUUUCACUACUGUGAGCAUACCUGACUUCUCUCUAGUAACAAGGCAAAAAGUGCUUCAUUUUGGAAGUGCUGAAAUUCUGAACCCACUAGUGCACCAGUGGUAAAUUAUCAUGUUACCUGUUAUGCCAGAUGACCAAGAGCUAAGGACAUCCCCCUGCUAAAAGCAGUUUAUUUCUUGUACACCAAGGGUCAGGCCUCAUACAGAAAACAUGAGCAAACUGAUGACUAUGAAAAUAGGAACUGUUACUUUUUAAUGUUUUCUGCAAAAGCUUUUGAAAUAAAUAGUUCACUGUUUUGCAGAUCACGUUACUAGAAGGACACAUUUAUAGUUGUGGGCGGAUGUGGAAUCAGAGGGAAAUUUACACUGGACACCACCACCAAGCCCAAAUUAUUAUAAUUUAGUCUUGAAUCACUUUAAUCAACACUUUAAAAUAUUUUGGUAUUCUUAGCCAUAAUUUAUUUUGUUCUCUUACAAGUGCUCUUUAGCAGUUUUCUGGAUCAUCAAAUAAGAGUUCAGUAAAAUUUACUUUUGGGUCAAUUAGUUGGAAUGACACUUUUGGAAUUAUCAAUUACUUUAUUUCUGAUGAAUUUUGAACAGGACUCACCAACCUCAUUUCUUAGUUUAGCCGUUUUGAGUUACAUAAAGACAAAAACAUGGCAAGGAUUUUACAGCAGGAAAAUGAUUUGUUUUUGUUUUUCAACAUUCCUAUAAUCCAGAGAGCUGAAGAAAUCUUUGAUCUAGAAAGCUUGGAAAUUCAAAGCCC